GAUGAACGCUGGCGGCGUGCCUAAUACAUGCAAGUCGAGCGAACAGAUGAGGAGCUUGCUCCUCUGACGUUAGCGGCGGACGGGUGAGUAACACGUGGAUAACCUACCUAUAAGACUGGGAUAACUUCGGGAAACCGGAGCUAAUACCGGAUAAUAUAUUGAACCGCAUGGUUCAAUAGUGAAAGACGGUUUUGCUGUCACUUAUAGAUGGAUCCGCGCCGCAUUAGCUAGUUGGUAAGGUAACGGCUUACCAAGGCAACGAUGCGUAGCCGACCUGAGAGGGUGAUCGGCCACACGGGAACUGAGACACGGUCCAGACUCCUACGGGAGGCAGCAGUAGGGAAUCUUCCGCAAUGGGCGAAAGCCUGACGGAGCAACGCCGCGUGAGUGAUGAAGGUCUUCGGAUCGUAAAACUCUGUUAUGAGGGAAGAACAAAUGUGUAAGUAACUAUGCACGUCUUGACGGUACCUAAUCAGAAAGCCACGGCUAACUACGUG
rnacentral:rRNA from 1 species